CUUACACAUAAUGAGGUUAGCAGAUGGAUGAGAAUAUAUAACAAAAACCCAUAAAACUGCCGGUCAUUGUUAGCCACCACACCCACAUUGUGCAGACAUCCAUAAAAAAUUCUGGGAAGUAUCAUAUACUGAUGAAAUUUAACUAUGCCAAACCAAUGUGAAAUGCAAUUACAUCUACACAUAUGAAGUUGGGAUACCCCUUGUGCAACUCUAAAAACCAAGUACUCAAUGAUCCCAAAUUGCAAGCACUCCUAUCCAUUCCCACACAAAGAAAACAUAGAUUUGAAUAAUCUGACUCAAAGUGCAAGGUAACUAGAAAUAGCAAGUUAGAGACAGAUUAUCAAGUGAGAAAUGCAAG
rnacentral:misc_RNA from 1 species